GGUUGGUGAGAUGGCUCAGUGGUUAAGAGCACUGACUGCUCUUCUGGAGGUCAUGAGUUCAAGUCCCAGCAACCA
rnacentral:tRNA from 1 species